GGAGAGUAUUCAUAUUUUAAAAUAUGGCUGCGCCCAUGGAAAGCAUGAUAGAGAAGUUACUGAACAACAGUUUCCAAAAGUAUGCUGUUCAGAGAUCCGGAGACUUACAAUUACAGUCUUUUGUCAAAGUAAUUGAGACGAACAAACUGCUUCUGAAAAGGGAUGACGAGGGCAGUAACGACAUUGUUGGCUACAUUCACCAGUGUCUAAACAACUCCAAACAGAGAUAUGAGGGUUUGAUACUGCUCGGUGUGCUAGUAAAACAGAGCUCUACAGCUAUAUUCCAAAAGAAUGCUGUUACUUGGCUGAAGUUGCUACUUAAUAUUUUACAGAGUCACUGCCCCCCGCCAGUGCACCAAGCUUGUUGUAAGUUGCUGUCACAGGUAAUCGACCAUUCAGACAGCUUCUCUGAUGUCUCAAGGGAGGUAACCAGCACAUUCAUCCCACAGUUGCUGCCCUUGUUGCUGACCUGUGAACCUGGGUGCCUGUCAGCUGCCCUGACAUGUGUGAGCAUGUGUAUCAGGAAGUACCCUGGGCCAGUGGGGCCGUUCAAAGCAAAGCUUCAAACCCUAGUGGAGCAAAAAUUAGCCAAUGGAAAGAAUUAUGAGGAACUCUAUGAGUGUUUUGCAUUGCUGGCAAGCUGUGGUUCUGGUGGAAACCUUGGGAUUAAACACACAGAGGCCUGGUCAGAACUAGCAGAGGGGGUGUUGGCCAGUUUACAUGAGACACUCAGUUGCAUGUACAGUGAUGUGGAUAUGGGCUCAGGAAGCAGUUGCACCGGGAAACCACUUGCAGGAUUACCUCCCAUUGAUUUCAGUCACAAUGACAGAGUUGUGGCCCUUUUCAAAAGGUGGUGUUCCCUCACCAAGUGUAUGCAAGCUUUACUAAGAGAGGACUUCAAUGCUGUUGCAAGAGUGCCAGCUGAUGACAUCUUGAACAUCAUAUUCCACUGCCUGUCUGUCAACACUAAUAUGUUGAUGAGCCGCCCAACCAGUGAGAGGUCGCUACUGGCCAGCUUCAGUCAGGACGUGCACAUACAUGCUCUUUACUUGCUACAGCAGCUCAUCACACUAUGUGGCAGGAACCUGAUCCCCCAGGGGGUAAUGAUUGUUAGUGUCCUGACCCAGGAGCUGAGCUGGUCCCACAGUGAGGGGGAUGGACACGACCAACAUUACGGGUGUUUACGGGAAGUUGUCUUUGAGACCUUGACAGUAUGGAUCAAAGCUCUGGAUGCAUGCUCUAGUGUGAAAUCAGGGGAGACCACACUUGUCAAAGAGAUCAUACAUGAUUGUCUACCUUAUACAUAUACACUGAAGAUGACCUCAGGUCUUAGCACUGGCUCCAAGACUGACAAGAUGACCAGUGGUCAGGGGUCAAGGAAGGGCCAUAAAGGGAAGGGUUACCAUGAGAUCUCCCAGGGGAUCAGUACCCAGAGGAAGUCACAGCCCCUGGCCAACCAUAGCUUGGUGAAGGCUGCAUUAGAAGCCCUGUAUUGGAUGUUAACCACAUCCGGUUGGGAGUUUUCCCAGAAGUCUCUUCAGUCAGUGCAAGAGUUUGUGAUCAGGAGCUUGCUAGCCCUCCAGCAGGCCCCUCUUGGCAGCCUGCCAGCCCCGUAUACUGACCCCAGCUGCAGGAGGGGUCUCUAUAGGGCCCUAUCAGCCUGUGUGACUACCACACAUGCCAAUGUACCGCCCCCUGUCCAGGUUGCACUGGGACUGUCCUCUGCAGGACUCCGCGAUAAACAUGCUGAUGUAUCAUCAUAUUGCAUGGAAGCUAUGAGGUUGUGUGAGGUGCUGAUCCACCAUAGAGUUCCCUGCCUUAAAGGGCCUGUCGUGUGUGAAAACUUGAUUCAGAUCUCUGGUCAAAACGAUCAGGAACCAAUUGUGUCUCACGUGAUCAACAAAUCUGGUAAUCAAGCUCACAUCAGUCUGGAAACAAAGAAUGGGUAUUCUGACGCUAGUUCUGAAUUUACUAGAAAUGAGGAAGCGAUUGCUGGAAGAACUGCUGGUAAUAUUACAUAUAACGGAGGGUUUUCCGAGAGAGAAAUAAGGAAGGAAAAAGGAAAAGAGUAGGGGAAGGGAAUGAUAACACAGAAAGUGCCAAAAUGAUACAUGCAGAGAAUGAUAUUAAUGAAGAAGAAAGCGAGUCGGAUAGUGACACUGAAGAUGAAGUUGAUGCUAUUGACGACCAUAACGAGGAUAAUGACAGUAGUGAUAUAGAAUUUGGUGUCCAUAAAAUAGAUUCAAACGAAAAUCAGGGAAGACAUGUACCAGUUGAAAAGGAUGAAGUGGUCGUUGCUGAUAAAGCUCAUUCAAACACAAUGAGUAAUGAGGAUGACGAGGAGGUGCUUGACAAAGCUUUAAAUGUGAUGCAUCAAGAACGUAGCGAGGAACAGACAGAACCAAACCCUGAGGCUAAAAAGGAAAUUACAAACAUUCUGUCUUCUUUUGUUGAUGCUGGACCAGACUCAGAUUAAGCUUUUGUGCGUGAAUAUCAGGGGCGCAGCUGCUAUUAGGCACAACUUGCACGGGCCUACAAUUUUUUUGGAAACAUUAAACAAAUAAAAAUGCUUCAACUUCGAAAAACGCAUUAAAAUGUUGACCCUGAGAGGGGUGUGGUGUUAGAAAUCUGCAUUUCAUAUUAACAAGUUGUAAUCGAUUCUCGUUGGAUAAUACAGUAAAAUUUAGUUCUCUGACAUUGAAAUAUCAAAGAAAAGCAGGCCAAAGUAUUAUAUUUUCUUAUCUUAUUAUUUGUCUAGAUAUGCUUUAAAUCUCACCACAGGCGUUAUAGGAUUUUAAAAUCCUCACCCGGACCCCCGUUUGUAUGUAUCAUAUCCGGGCCUACAGCUAAAAAAAAAUGCUAGAUACGUCCCUGAAUAUUUCUGCAAUUUCAUUAACAUUCGUGCCGGGAAUAACAAAAAGAAAAAGGAAAAAUAACAAUCAAUGUAAAAAUGUGAUUAAAAGACAAGUUUUGUUGUUUUUUUAAUUUUAUUGGAAAUAAGAGUAUGAAUUUAGUUUAAUGCAUUGGGCGAAAGUAUAAAUUCAAAUAAAGUGUGUUGUUUUGAUUGCUAUCUCUAGAACAUUCCCAAUGUUGUUGUCAAGGAAUAAAACAUGUAUCGAAAUGUA